CCUACGGGCGGCUGCAGUGAGGAAUAUUGGUCGAUGGACGGAAGUCUGAACCAGCCAUGCCGCGUGCAGGAAGACGGCUCUAUGAGUUGUAAACUGCUUUUGUACAAGGGUAAACCUGAAUACGUGUAUUCAGCUGACAGUACUGUACGAAUAAGGAUCGGCUAACUCCGUGCCAGCAGCCGCGGUAAUACGGAGGAUCCAAGCGUUAUCCGGAUUUAUUGGGUUUAGAGGGUGCGUAGGCGGAGUGAUAAGUUAGAGGUGAAAUGUCCGAGCUUAACUCGGGAACUGCCUCUAAUACUGUUGAUCUAGAGAGUAGAUGCGGUAGGCGGAAUGUAUGGUGUAGCUGUGAAAUGCUUAGAGAUCAUACAGAACACCGAUUGCGAAGGCAGCUUACCAAUCUAUAUCUGACGUUGAGGCACGAAAGCGUGGGGAGCAAACAGGAUUAGAUACCCGAGUAGUC
rnacentral:rRNA from 1 species